rnacentral:rRNA from 1 species
UACGUAGGGACCAAGCGUUGUUCGGAUUUACUGGGCGUAAAGGGCGCGUAGGCGGCAAUUCAAGUCAGUUGUGAAAUCUCCAGGCUCAACCUGGAGGGGUCAUUCGAUACUGCCGUGACUAGAGUUCGGUAGGGGAGUGUGGAAUUCCUGGUGGAGCGGUGAAAUGCGCAGAUAUCAGGAGGAACACCCGUAGCGAAGGCGGCACUCUGGGCCGAUACUGACACUGAGGAGCGAAAGCGUGGGGAGCGAACAGG